rnacentral:rRNA from 1 species
AUUGAACGCUGGCGGUAGGCCUAACACAUGCAAGUCGAACGCCAAAGUCCUUCGGGAUGAGUAGAGUGGCGGACGGGUGAGUAACGCGUAGGAAUCUAUCCUGUAGUGGGGGAUAACGUUUCGAAAGGAACGCUAAUACCGCAUACGCCGCAAGGGGGAAAGCGGGGGAGCUUAGGAACCAGUGCUAUAGGAGGAGCCUGCGUCGGAUUAUCUAGUUGGUGAGGUAAAGGCUCACCAAGGCGACGAUCCGUAGCUGGUCUGAGAGGAUGAUCAGCCACACCGGCACUGAGACACGGUCCGGACUCCUACGGGAGGCAGCAGUGGGGAAUAUUGCGCAAUGGGCGAAAGCCUGACGCAGCCAUACCGCGUGUGUGAAGAAGGCCUUCGGGUUGUAAAGUACUUUCAGCGGGGAGGAAGGGAGUAAAGUUAAUACCUUUGCUCAUUGACGUUACCCGCAGAAGAAGCACCGGCUAACUCCGUGCCAGCCGCCGCUGUAA